ensembl:snoRNA SNORA73 Small nucleolar RNA SNORA73 family
CCAAUAUGGAUAUCCUGGGAGGUAACUCUCCCCAGGCUCUGUCCAGGUGGCAUAGGGGAGGCACAGGGCUCUGCUCCAUGAUGUAUAGUCCCUUGUCACAACAUUGGAGAAGAAACUGGGCCUUGUGUCUGCACCUGCAUAUUCCUACAACUGCUCAGAGUCCUUUGGGCAAUGACUGAGGAGAUAAACCAUGCAGGAAACAAUG